GGUGAUGAUGGCAGAGAGGUCACACCCGUUCCCAUGCCGAACACGGAAGUUAAGCUCUCUAGCGCCGAUGGUAGUUGGGACCUUGUCCCUGUGAGAGUAGGACGUCGCCAAGCAA
rnacentral:rRNA from 1 species